UGCAGCUGGAGAUCCAUUGGCUGUGGAAGACUCCCUUGAUGGCCAGACAGAGGCUUCAUUUGGGACGGCUUUGUUAUUGCUUCUUAAAGCUGCUUUCUUGUAUAAAAUUUUUAAUUUUUGUACUUAAGAAGUAGUAAGAAAGUGGUCCCAAAUGAAGCCAGAGAUUGUGCCUGGAGGCUGAGGUUUUGGCGUUGUUUAGGACGGCUUUUUUACUGCUUCUUGAAACAAAAUUUUAGUACAAAAAUUAAAAUUUUUGUGUAUAUGGCUCGUUGGACUAUGGCAAGUUAUUAAGGUGCUUCUGCGCUUCAAGUUUCAAAAGGAACACUAUGAUUCUUCACCUUUGCUGGGAAUUCUCUGCUUUGUUCCGCGUAGAUAUCUGCUUUCUAUUUUCAGCAAUACAAUUUAUGUUUGAAAUUUCACUCAACGAUUCAGAUGGAUUGAAUGUUCAUGCUCGAUUAUAAGUCAUGGAGCUGCUAACGGUCAAAUCAGAUUU